UAGGGAAUCUUCCGCAAUGGGCGAAAGCCUGACGGAGCAACGCCGCGUGAGUGAUGAAGGUCUUCGGAUCGUAAAACUCUGUUAUUAGGGAAGAACAAAUGUGUAAGUAACUAUGCACGUCUUGACGGUACCUAAUCAGAAAGCCACGGCUAACUACGUGCCAGCAGCCGCGGUAAUACGUUGGUGGCAAGCGUUAUCCGGAAUUAUUGGGCGUAAAGCGCGCGUAGGCGGUUUUUUAAGUCUGAUGUGAAAGCCCACGGCUCAACCGUGGGGGGUCAUUGGAAACUGGAAAACUUAAGUGCAGAAGAGGAAAGUGGAAUUCCAUGUGUAGCAGUGAAAUGCGGAGAGAUAUGGAGGAACACCAGUGGCGAAGGCGACUUUCUGGUCUGUAACUGACGCUGAUGUGCGAAAGGGUGGGGAUCAAACAGG
rnacentral:rRNA from 1 species